CAAUCGUUUCAACAGAAAAAGAAAAUUGAGCCAAAAAGCAUUGUCACUGGCCAGAUUUUCUCAGCUGGGCCCAACUUGGUCUAAAGAAGUUGACCUCAACAAUUGGAGGCGGACCUGCGUUAGCCCACAAGCAUCUAAGACUUGCUGUUUUUUGGAUCUACAAUACGGACUUGAAACCGACUAGGCCGACAAGAGGAUACUGAACUUGGCCUCCCGCAGACUUGAGGACCGGCGGCGGUAAACCAUCGCACAAAGGCAUGCCCCUUUUUAAUUAACUAGUAUGCUCAGGAGGCCAUUUUUAUCGUGUUUUGAUUUGCGGGAAAUUGUCGUUUCUUUUUAAUUUCAAAUGCAGACCACCUGUUUGUUACAAUGCCUAAAUGCACAGCUCAUUCCCUUCCCAAGCUAUGGGAGCAUUCAAUUAUUAAACCCAUGUAGGUAGUACUAAAGAAAUGUGUUGAUGAUGUGGAUGGAAAUGUGUGAUCCAAUUCAGCCAACUUACUAAAGAGCAAUAAAGUGGCAUGUCCAUUAGCAUCCAAGUGGUGGAAACAUAUUUUGGGUGAAUGGACCAACAGAGUUCUGAAAGCUACGCAGCUGAAAUAUAUUUGGAGGUUGAUUGAAACUUACUUGACUGGCCUUUAGGAGAUUGAGCCAUCUUUGGUGCUCUACUUGCUAAACUUACCCAUCAUGGUGGAGAGAAUCAUUCUCAACUUUUACAAUGCACAAUUAGUGGAAGCUCUCACAUUUCCAUUAUCAGGUAAAAUCAUCCUUGUCAUAAAUUUUAGUCACAAUACAAAUUGAUAGUAUUAUCUAGAACUUAAGACGAUGGAGACUUACAGAGAGAGUCACUGAAUAUUUGUGGUCCCACGUCCUGCCAAUGGCAUAUACAAGCUAAGUGAGAGAUGCUCAGUAGAGGGUAAAUGGGCCAUAGGAUAAUAGCCCAAGUGAUUGUUUGAGCCCAUCUGUUUCAACAACGGGAAUCUUUGUAGGAUAGAAGUGGUGAAAGAUAGAAAAUGCAAAGCAAAGAUGCCCACUUCAAAAGCAUUUGGGUGUUUAUUGGGCGAAUAGGGAAUUUUGCUUAUAUCUGAGAUGUCAAUUCCUUAUAAGCCUCUUUUGCUUUUUUUAUUUCCUUUCACCGACAUUUUCUUUUGGAGUGGCUAACAAGCACAAUUGCAAGUGCAUAGCUGAAAAAAAAAAAAAAAAGACAAUGUCAUUAGCUUUUAGUGGCAAAAUUGACAGCCAUUUUCUUCUAUUGGAAAAAUUAGAGAGAGAAACAAUAGUAGCAUAUAGGAUGUCUUUAUGGUAUAAUAAAUAAAUAAAAGUGAGAUAUUUAUAUAAAAAUAAAUUAUAUUUUUUUAAAAAAAUAUACAUAUUAAUUCAUUAUUAUAUUUUUAAAAUUCAUUAAUUCACUUAUAAGUUUUAAUUAUCUAUUUAUUUUAAUUUUUAUUAAUUUAUUAUACCAUACGUGCUAUAACAGUUCUACUAUAUGAUUCUUCCUUUAACUGUGUUAAUAGCUAUAUCUCCAUUCUAAAACAAAAUAAGGUUUAUGUUGUGAUCAAGGGCUGAGAUUUGCUCAUACACAGCUUAUCAGAUGAUUUCAUGUUGCGGCAAGCCGCGUCCCAGCAUAUUAUAGCAUGUUUAUUCCCAUCAAUUUUUGUUUAUGAUAACCUUUAUCUUAAGUGGGAGAAUAAGGAUGUAUGCUUUGGAGUCUCAAUUAUUAUUUUUUUCCCUUUUUUUAAUAAUUUGUAAUCUCUUUCCAUGGGAUAGAAUAUGUGGGGUUUGCUUCUGUAGAGUCAAUACAUAAUCAUGAUUUUGCAUAAAAUAUAAUUAAAAUAAUUGAUUUGGCAAUUCAGCACACUAAUUGGAAUAGUAAAGCAAAUUAGAGGAGCUAGAAGCUAUUAUUAAUAUUUAUUUAAUCAAGGGUUGGGUUGGUCAUGAUACCUAGUGUUAAAGGGAGCAUAUUUCAAGUGGAAACAUAAAAUAUUUUAGUUAUUUUAAUUAUGUUGUUUUUUUAUUGGUUUACUAACAUGGACAUCAAUGCAUCACUAGAUGAUAGUGUUAAUAGUCAAUGGUGAUUUUUUUUUUCAAUCAAAAAAAUUAUUUGGUUUGCGAUAAUUCCAUCUUAUGUAUUAUAUUUCAUUAUAUAUUUUGUUUAAAUUGAAUUUUUAAAC